UACGUAGGGGGCAAGCGUUGUCCGGAAUCAUUGGGCGUAAAGCGCGUGUAGGCGGCUUCGUAAGUCCGUUGUGAAAGUCCAGGGCUCAACCCUGGAAUGCCGAUGGAUACUGCGGAGCUAGAGUACGGAAGAGGCGAGUGGAAUUCCUGGUGUAGCGGUGAAAUGCGCAGAUAUCAAGCGGAACACCGGUGGCGAAGGCGGCCUUCUGGACAGAAACUGACGCUGAGACGCGAAAGCGUGGGGAGCAAACAGG
rnacentral:rRNA from 1 species